AGUCUACAAGCAAGUAGUUACUGGAAAAAAACAAAUUAGAACGGGACACUUUCAAAACAGUGAAGGAGGUUUUUCCAAACUCAUCCCUAACUGAACAUGAGGAUGAAUUGGCAUUAGGCGAACACAGUCAGUCUACCACCUGACAGUGUGUUAAAGUUAAAUUCUGUUAGUGCUGCACUAAAAGAAUUGUUAGAAAUAAGUCCAUGCAGCGAAGGAAGUGAACAAUUGUGGGACCGUAUUUGGGCUGAAAAUGGGUGUGGUACGGAAACCCAGAAAUAGCACGAGUUCAACAUAAAACAUGAAUUAGAUUUUUAGCGGGGGAUCAAGUCAAAUCUGGAAGUGUUACCGGAUGGAAGAGUGAGCCUACAGUUGAAAAACACUGAAAGUGCAUUACCAUUAAGGUAUGAGGUAAAGUAAUAGAGUAUGCAGAUUGUCUAAUGAGAAGUACCAUCUUGUGUGAAUGAAUCCUGUGUAACAGCAAUCCUUUAUAGUUCUGUCACAGCUAGAAGCCUCAAAUAAUUCUGCUUCUCUUGCUAAAGAACAACUUGUCCUUUAUGUUCAGAGUGUUGGUGAAGCUGGGUACUUAAAUGGCCCUAAAGAUGUUUCAUUUCGUUGGCAUUGCAGCAAUGAACAUCAUACAUGGACUUUUUAGGAAAGGAUUUUCAGCAUACUGGGAACACAACUAUCAACAAUGCAACAUUCUAGGGGUGUUAUUUUAUCAUUCAAGAGCCUUAUACAAUGAUUUUCAUCUGCAAUUUGUAUGGCCUUUCCCAAGCUUCUGCCAGAAGUUGAAUCAAUAGGUCAUGUAAGUCACAUGAGCAACAAUUGAGAUGCUUAAUGGUGUUGUUUUUCUUUUCUCAGCAUAGGUUAAUAGUAACAUUGGAUCUGAAAAAAUUCUUGGUUGGGGCAAGACACUGAAUAAAUUGUAAUGAUUGAAUGGAUGACAUGACAUUUCUAUACUUAAUUCGGAUUCCCGAGACGGUAUUUUAUAUUUAAAAAAUUGAAGUGCAUAUCUGGGCUCCCUUCCUUUCCGUAGCCCCGUUUCCCCUUGACUCGUAAUAAGCCCGUAGGGGGUCAUGCCCCUACUGUACGGUAUAUAUAAAAACAACAUAUACCGAGGUUUGGAGGGCUCUGGCCGGAAAGGGGACGUGG